GUGAAUCAUCGAAUCUUUGAACGCAAAUUGCGCUCCCUAGCAUCCCGGGGAGUAUGCCUGUUUGAGGGUCAGUAUUAACAAAAAAAUCGGUUUGGUUGCAAAUUGUGACGUUUCCGGAGUUUGAGCUAUCUUAACUUUUUUGGUUCAGGGUCUUAUAAUUGACCUUUUUUGCGCAUUUUUAGACGUAC
rnacentral:misc_RNA from 1 species